CGCCCUGCUACAACUCAACUCCCCGUGGAGUAAAAGAGGGCUUCAGAAUGCCCAUAGGUCUGACAUCAACCAACAAGGAAGUGUUUGUGAUCAGGUUCUUCCUCUGUCCAUUUCCAGGCUCCUCUUCUCCCCUCUCUCUGUCUACUCCUGGCUGGUCUCUGUGAUGGUUAAACUCGUCUUCUCCUCUCUGGCCAUCAUCCUGUCUUCUCUGUAUUACACUGUCCUGCUCCUGCUGGCCGGGCCCUGCUGUAUCGUCACCUUGUCUCUGUCUGUGGUAUUGUACUGUCUCCAUGUAGUUAUCUAUAUGGUUCACCUGGUGUUGGUGCUCUGUGCUCUGGCAGUGCUCGCUAUGACUCCACACAAAAUGGCUGACGUGAAUGGACCUAAAAUGGCCGCCGGUGCCACUGCUAAUGAACAAACGUUCUACGGCCAACUGAAACUGCAGCUCCAGGAUUCGGACAGAUCUGGGAUCAGUGUUGGG
rnacentral:lncRNA from 1 species